rnacentral:rRNA from 1 species
AGAUUAAGUUAUUAAGGGCGCACGGUGGAUGCCUUGGCACUAGAAGCCGAUGAAGGACGUUACUAACGACGAUAUGCUUUGGGGAGCUGUAAGUAAGCUUUGAUCCAGAGAUUUCCGAAUGGGGAAACCCAGCAUGAGUUAUGUCAUGUUAUCGAUAUGUGAAUACAUAGCAUAUCAGAAGGCACACCCGGAGAACUGAAACAUCUUAGUACCCGGAGGAAGAGAAAGAAAAUUCGAUUCCCUUAGUAGCGGCGAGCGAAACGGGAAGAGCCCAAACCAACAAGCUUGCUUGUUGGGGUUGUAGGACACUCUAUACGGAGUUACAAAGGACGACAUUAGACGAAUCAUCUGGAAAGAUGAAUCAAAGAAGGUAAUAAUCCUGUAGUCGAAAAUGUUGUCUCUCUUGAGUGGAUCCUGAGUACGACGGAGCACGUGAAAUUCCGUCGGAAUCUGGGAGGACCAUCUCCUAAGGCUAAAUACUCUCUAGUGACCGAUAGUGAACCAGUACCGUGAGGGAAAGGUGAAAAGCACCCCGGAAGGGGAGUGAAAUAGAACCUGAAACCGUGUGCUUACAAGUAGUCAGAGCCCGUUAAUGGGUGAUGGCGUGCCUUUUGUAGAAUGAACCGGCGAGUUACGAUUUGAUGCAAGGUUAAGCAGUAAAUGUGGAGCCGUAGCGAAAGCGAGUCUGAAUAGGGCGUUUAGUAUUUGGUCGUAGACCCGAAACUAGGUGAUCUACCCUUGGUCAGGUUGAAGUUCAGGUAACACUGAAUGGAGGACCGAACCGACUUACGUUGAAAAGUGAGCGGAUGAACUGAGGGUAGCGGAGAAAUUCCAAUCGAACCUGGAGAUAGCUGGUUCUCUCCGAAAUAGCUUUAGGGCUAGCCUCAAGUGAUGAUUAUUGGAGGUAGAGCACUGUUUGGACGAGGGGCCCCUCUCGGGUUACCGAAUUCAGACAAACUCCGAAUGCCAAUUAAUUUAACUUGGGAGUCAGAACAUGGGUGAUAAGGUCCGUGUUCGAAAGGGAAACAGCCCAGACCACCAGCUAAGGUCCCAAAAUAUAUGUUAAGUGGAAAAGGAUGUGGCGUUGCCCAGACAACUAGGAUGUUGGCUUAGAAGCAGCCAUCAUUUAAAGAGUGCGUAAUAGCUCACUAGUCGAGUGACACUGCGCCGAAAAUGUACCGGGGCUAAACAUAUUACCGAAGCUGUGGAUUGUCCUUUGGACAAUGGUAGGAGAGCGUUCUAAGGGCGUUGAAGCAUGAUCGUAAGGACAUGUGGAGCGCUUAGAAGUGAGAAUGCCGGUGUGAGUAGCGAAAGACGGGUGAGAAUCCCGUCCACCGAUUGACUAAGGUUUCCAGAGGAAGGCUCGUCCGCUCUGGGUUAGUCGGGUCCUAAGCUGAGGCCGACAGGCGUAGGCGAUGGAUAACAGGUUGAUAUUCCUGUACCACCUAUAAUCGUUUUAAUCGAUGGGGGGACGCAGUAGGAUAGGCGAAGCGUGCGAUUGGAUUGCACGUCUAAGCAGUAAGGCUGAGUAUUAGGCAAAUCCGGUACUCAUUAAGGCUGAGCUGUGAUGGGGAGAAGACAUUGUGUCUUCGAGUCGUUGAUUUCACACUGCCGAGAAAAGCCUCUAGAUAGAAAAUAGGUGCCCGUACCGCAAACCGACACAGGUAGUCAAGAUGAGAAUUCUAAGGUGAGCGAGCGAACUCUCGUUAAGGAACUCGGCAAAAUGACCCCGUAACUUCGGGAGAAGGGGUGCUCUUUAGGGUUAACGCCCAGAAGAGCCGCAGUGAAUAGGCCCAAGCGACUGUUUAUCAAAAACACAGGUCUCUGCUAAACCGUAAGGUGAUGUAUAGGGGCUGACGCCUGCCCGGUGCUGGAAGGUUAAGAGGAGUGGUUAGCUUCUGCGAAGCUACGAAUCGAAGCCCCAGUAAACGGCGGCCGUAACUAUAACGGUCCUAAGGUAGCGAAAUUCCUUGUCGGGUAAGUUCCGACCCGCACGAAAGGCGUAACGAUUUGGGCACUGUCUCAACGAGAGACUCGGUGAAAUCAUAGUACCUGUGAAGAUGCAGGUUACCCGCGACAGGACGGAAAGACCCCGUGGAGCUUUACUGUAGCCUGAUAUUGAAAUUCGGCACAGCUUGUACAGGAUAGGUAGGAGCCUUUGAAACGUGAGCGCUAGCUUACGUGGAGGCGCUGGUGGGAUACUACCCUAGCUGUGUUGGCUUUCUAACCCGCACCACUUAUCGUGGUGGGAGACAGUGUCAGGCGGGCAGUUUGACUGGGGCGGUCGCCUCCUAAAAGGUAACGGAGGCGCUCAAAGGUUCCCUCAGAAUGGUUGGAAAUCAUUCAUAGAGUGUAAAGGCAUAAGGGAGCUUGACUGCGAGACCUACAAGUCGAGCAGGGUCGAAAGACGGACUUAGUGAUCCGGUGGUUCCGCAUGGAAGGGCCAUCGCUCAACGGAUAAAAGCUACCCCGGGGAUAACAGGCUUAUCUCCCCCAAGAGUUCACAUCGACGGGGAGGUUUGGCACCUCGAUGUCGGCUCAUCGCAUCCUGGGGCUGUAGUCGGUCCCAAGGGUUGGGCUGUUCGCCCAUUAAAGCGGUACGCGAGCUGGGUUCAGAACGUCGUGAGACAGUUCGGUCCCUAUCCGUCGUGGGCGUAGGAAAUUUGAGAGGAGCUGUCCUUAGUACGAGAGGACCGGGAUGGACAUACCUCUGGUGUACCAGUUGUCGUGCCAACGGCAUAGCUGGGUAGCUAUGUGUGGACGGGAUAAGUGCUGAAAGCAUCUAAGCAUGAAGCCCCCCUCAAGAUGAGAUUUCCCAACUUCGGUUAUAAGAUCCCUCAAAGAUGAUGAGGUUAAUAGGUUCGAGGUGGAAGCAUGGUGACAUGUGGAGCUGACGAAUACUAAUCGAUCGAAGACUUAAUCAAAUU